rnacentral:rRNA from 1 species
UAAGGAAUAUUGGUCAAUGGACGCAAGUCUGAACCAGCCAUGCCGCGUGCAGGAUGAAGGCCCUCUGGGUUGUAAACUGCUUUUAUCUGGGAAGAAAUGUAUUUAUUCUUAAGUAUUUGACGGUACCAGAGGAAUAAGCACCGGCUAACUCCGUGCCAGCAGCCGCGGUAAUACGGAGGGUGCAAGCGUUAUCCGGAUUCACUGGGUUUAAAGGGUGCGUAGGCGGAUUUGUAAGUCCGUGGUGAAAUCUCCGAGCUUAACUCGGAAACUGCCAUGGAUACUAUAGGUCUUGAAUGUUGUGGAGGUCAGCGGAAUAUGUCAUGUAGCGGUGAAAUGCUUAGAUAUGACAUAGAACACCUAUUGCGAAGGCAGCUGGCUACGCAAAUAUUGACGCUGAGGC